rnacentral:rRNA from 1 species
GCUACGGGUGGCAGCAGUGAGGAAUAUUGGUCAAUGGGCGUAAGCCUGAACCAGCCAAGUCGCGUGAGGGAUGAAGGUUCUAUGGAUCGUAAACCUCUUUUAUAAGGGAAUAAAGUGUGGGACGUGUCCUGUUUUGUAUGUACCUUAUGAAUAAGGACCGGCUAACUCCGUGCCAGCAGCCGCGGUAAUACGGAGGGUCCGAGCGUUAUCCGGAUUUAUUGGGUUUAAAGGGUGCGUAGGCUGCCUUUUAAGUCAGCGGUGAAAGUCUGUGGCUCAACCAUAGAAUUGCCGUUGAAACUGGGGGGCUUGAGUAUGUUUGAGGCAGGCGGAAUGCGUGGUGUAGCGGUGAAAUGCUUAGAUAUCACGCAGAACCCCGAUUGCGAAGGCAGCCUGCCACGCCAUGACUGACGCUGAUGCACGAAAGCGUGGGGAUCAAACAGGAUUAGAUACCCGUGUAGUC